GCCGGGUGUGGUGGUGCACACCUGUAGUCCUAGCUACUUGGGAGGCUGAGGUAGGGGGUUUGCUUGAGGCUAGGAGUUUGAGGUUUCAGUGAGCUGUGAAUGUGCCACUGCACUCCAGCCUGGGUCACAGAGCAAGACCCUGUCUCAA
ensembl:misc_RNA Metazoa_SRP Metazoan signal recognition particle RNA